rnacentral:rRNA from 1 species
GUUUGAUCCUGGCUCAGAUUGAACGCUGGCGGCAUGCUUUACACAUGCAAGUCGAACGGUAACAGGGUGCUUGCACCGCUGACGAGUGGCGAACGGGUGAGUAAUGCGUCGGAACGUGCCGAGUAGUGGGGGAUAACGCAGCGAAAGUUGUGCUAAUACCGCAUACGUACUGAGGUAGAAAGUGGGGGACCUUCGGGCCUCACGCUAUUCGAGCGGCCGACGUCUGAUUAGCUAGUAGGUGAGGUAAAGGCUCACCUAGGCGACGAUCAGUAGCGGGCCUGAGAGGAUGAUCCGCCACACUGGGACUGAGACACGGCCCAGACUCCUACGGGAGGCAGCAGUGGGGAAUUUUGGACAAUGGGCGAAAGCCUGAUCCAGCCAUGCCGCGUGUCUGAAGAAGGCCUUCGGGUUGUAAAGGACUUUUGUCAGGGAGGAAAUCCCUAGUGCUAAUAACACUGGGGGAUGACAGUACCUGAAGAAUAAGCACCGGCUAACUACGUGCCAGCAGCCGCGGUAAUACGUAGGGUGCGAGCGUUAAUCGGAAUUACUGGGCGUAAAGCGUGCGCAGGCGGUUUGAUAAGCCAGAUGUGAAAUCCCCGAGCUCAACUUGGGAACUGCGUUUAGAACUGUCAGACUAGAGUGCGUCAGAGGGGGGUGGAAUUCCGCGUGUAGCAGUGAAAUGCGUAGAGAUGCGGAGGAACACCGAUGGCGAAAGCAGCCCCCUGGAUGACACUGACGCUCAUGCACGAAAGCGUGGGGAGCAA